rnacentral:lncRNA from 1 species
CGGAAACACAGGGGUCUGUAACCAGACCAAACCGAAAAAUGAAAGCUCAAUAUCAGGCGCAGCAUUUCAAGCAAGCAGACACAAACUUGGCUAGUUCUAAGACAUCAGGCUGGUUCAUGAAGUCUCGAAGCCGUGUUGCACCAUUUUCAGGCAAUGCAGAAAACAGAUGUUGGAACUGAGCGCGCAAGCCUGCCAGAUCCUCAGAAGGGCAGUCCAGGAKAACGUGCUCUUCGUCUUGUAUAGUGUGCCAAUCACAUUUGUUGCAAAUCCUGAGCUCGUAUGAACGUCUAUUCUCUUGACGCCUUWGGGUUUCCACCCGAAAAUUGUGACUGGACAGGCGUAAGCACGAAAUGCUGCGUAAUAAAUUGUGAGCAAURUUUUUCCGCAAAUAGAUAGGUAACAGAGGCUUUUUGUUCCUCUUUCUGUCAUCCCACCAACCUGGUACAGUGCCCAAUGGGAUGCCAAAGUGUGUGCGAUAAGUCCUCAUGAUUCUACUGGAAGAGUGUGCCUCUUGUGGGGUCAGAUUGUCCAGACUUCUCCAUUCCUGAAUGAUUUGCUCGCGGAGUACAGCCUCAAAGUCAUUCAUGUUGACCCUGGUCCCGGAGCGUACAGCAGCAGCAAAUUGCUGGGCAUUGGACACGUCAUUCAGAGCUGUAAUAACCUGGUAGGUCCAGCUGCCUUCCCUGUCAGCAAAGCGCAUGUCUGCCUGCACGACUCUGCUCAGGAGGUCAUUGUUUGUGCUCAAAAGGGAAUUCCAGAAUCUCAUAACACACCUGAACCAGUAAAAGUAAAGAGGCAUCUGUCCAGUAUCUCGAAGUAAACAGCGUGUCUUUGUUGCCCUCUUAACACCCAAAAGAGAUUUUAGGAAGCCUGCAUGAUAGACAUGAGCUUUGGUCUUCAUAGAAGAGUCAUAGGACAGUUUGUCUGUAGCCCAUAUUUGACACCCAUACAAGCCUGUUGUGAGCGCAAAGGUCUGGAAAAGCCAAAGCAUGGCGUGCUUUCUAUUCAAAAUACCAAACUCAGCUCCUGCUUUCUGUACCCUCGCAAUGCCACCCAUAAAGUUGCGAGCCAUUUGGUUUGUAGCUGUAAUCAUUUUGCCAUCUCGACUCAGAAUUAAUCCCAGGUACUUGAAUUCUGAAACAACCUCAAGGCCUUCACCAUCGUACAUAAAAGUGGGCAUGGGUGUUGUGUCACCACUGAAAAAAACCAUCACCUUUGUUUUCUCUGUGUUGACAGUCAGCUGUUUGUUUUGUGCAUACUCAUGGAAUCUGUUGAGCUGGAGCUGUAUAUGUGCAGCAGAGUUUGCAAGAAUCAUCGUGUCGUCAGCAUAAUCAAAAAUGGGGUAUUCUGGUAUCCUCUAGGGCUGUGACAGCUCCUUGUCCCCUGUCCAGAAAUCUGUCCAUGUCAUUUGUAAAAAGGGUGUAUAAAAGGGGGCUUAGUGGGCAUCCUUGUUUCAGCCCUUUAUUAGGGGCCACUUCGCUUGACAUUUUAUCCCCGUCAACAAGGACAUACACUCCUCCUUGAUACAUGGCCAUGAUGGCACAUAGCAGAUAUUCCGGCAUCUUUAAUCUCUCCAAAUGUUCCCACAGUUUGACCCUCUGGACAUUGUCGUAGGCAGCUUGUAGGUUUAAGAAGACAGUGUACAGCUUUUUCUUAAUUCUCCUGGCUGCUAAAAGGGCAUGGCGCAAAAUGUACRAUGGUUGGUUGGUGUUCCUAGUCGGGCAAAAUCCAAACUGCGUGUCAGGGAUUUUACCCUCUGCAAGGGCCCAUGCUGUCAAGAUGUCACGCACAAUAUUGGCAUAGAGCCUGUAUAAACAUCCAUUAAUUGCCAACACCCUGUAGUUCUUCGGGUCAGUCUGAGCAUUCCUUUUGUGCACUGGAGUAGUCUUUGUUUUUUUCCAAGCGUUUGGAAGCGCACCAGCAGACAAUAUCAAGCGAAACAAACUCUUUCCUGUAACCUUGUACCUGCAAAAAAAAACAUGAAAUGAUUACAAAGUAUCGUACAAGGACACGUCCUGAACCUGACAACAACCGCAUGGUGAUAUGGAGACCACUUACCCGAUCACAGAUUGCCAACCAUGCCGACACAAUACUUCGACGAACAGAGGCCCGUACGUGUGAGCAUGCUACGAUAUUAACGAGACAAUUGCACGAUACUGCAUCAGAAAACCAUUCACUCAAACAAACUGUCGCUCUUGCACACCGACGCAUCACCGACCUUGAAAGAAACCAUGAUGCCUUUCCAGGACGUAACACUAACUGUAAUAAGGCUUCCAUCUGGAAGAGAGACACUGAGCUGGAUUGGCGCAAGUAUGAUGACAUUGGUGGACGUGCGUUCGUAUUGACUAGAGACAACGUUUCUAUCGACACAGUGUCGCAGACCCUCGGAACGGAUAAACCAAUCCUUCCAUCAACAGAAACAACAACACAUUCCGUAUCCUUGUCGCAAACGAAGGACGUGCAGGCCCCCCUGUCGUAAAAUCGUUCGUCAAUUCCAUCCGGGACAAACUUCCACAGAAAUGGAAAGUUCAAAGAGAGCGAACGCAAUUGACCAUGCAACGUGAGAGAAAUCUGAAUGCCAUAAACAUCGCAAUCCAGGGAGUCAUUUCCUCAGAACCAAAAUUUGCCGGCCUCAACACAUACGUCGGAGUGAACGGGUCAAAUAUUUACCUCUCUUACGGAAACAGACGGGAUGCUUUGAACACAAAGAUAAAAGAUACACCGGCAUGCGAGUACCCUGUCUGGGAACACUUUGAGUUUGAUCCGCUCCUGAAUAUGGGCAACGGAGGCAUUAACUAUAAGAAUGUCACUAAUCUCCAAAGUGCAUCCAUUGAGGCUAACAUUGCUCGAUCCCUCCCAAUUUCUACUGCUGCCUCCUCUUCAUCUUAUGACGGGGAUGUCCACAUGCAUGAUGCUUCACGCGACACAGGACCCUGGGGCCCGUCUGACAAAAUAGAGCGCGCGCAGCGACUUCACCUGGGUUUCACACAAUAGCUGUUACACUCAUUCAGAAUGUUUGGCAGAGGUUUUAAGGGUCCUGGUGUGCUGACUAAUCUCAAUGCCUAAUGAAGAAAGCGGAGAGUGAGAGGAAAUUGAACUCUAUCAACACCACUAUUCAACGAAACAUUUCUAGGUACACUCCGCCACCAACCAAAAAAGCUCUCCUCUGACCUCAGAUUUACGGGCUUUUCUCACGUGUGACAUUUCUGUCAUCUGGUUUUCAUUCUUUCAGUUGCACUGGAUAAUCAAGAGUUCCCCUAUUGUAGCAGGCUCACACAGAGGAUUCACGAAUUGUGAACAAACGUACAACCUCUGUUCUAGGACUUGUGAAAGUUGGAAAGUUGUGUUCCCGCAACCAUGUCUUGAACAUUCAUUCCACUUUUGUUCACCUGUUAUUGAUAGCGAAUCAGGAUGUGUCCGCAUCCCAACUCUCAUCAACAUUUAUCAAUUUUUCAUUGAAUCAAACUUUUAUUACUAGGCUGAGCAGUCGCACGUUUUGACUGAAGGCCUUUUUCUCUUCCUGUAACCCUGUACCUGCUGCUGCUGCUGCUGCUGCUGCUGCUGCUUGCUUCCGCUGUUGCUUCCUCGGUUGGCGCUUCCUGAACCUGCACCCAAGCAUCCCCUAGGUUGCGUCCUUCCUGCUUCCCCUUGCAUCCGCCAAAACAGCAGCGAGCGAGCUCCUCCCGCUGCUGGACGUGUGCAUGCUCUAGUUAGAGAAGGGGGUGACAAAAUCUGGGCAUCUGUGUGCAGACGGUGACAUGGUGUUUGAAGAUGAGCAAAAGGCAGCAGCCUUGCACAGCGGUGCAUAACAGGUCCAAGCCGGUCCAGAGCCAAAACUUGCUCAUGCAUUGGUGAUGUGUAUAUCAUCAGCAGUACCAAAAGCAUGAGAAAACCCUAGUUACAACACACCAACCUGCGCUGGCCACCAGGCGCCGUGCGCCACGCCCAGAGUACCUCACAUGCUCCCACAGGAGUGCAGGGGCACCAUCUAGGACAGGUCCUGCAAGGAUUGAACCAUCGCAUGGUCAGCUGUGCUGCACUUUGCCCAUUGAAGAUCAGCAUGCAUGGGGUGUAUCAGAUGCGCUACAGGGACAAUCCCAGGCUGCAAACGUUUGCAAUUACAUCUCCUCAACUCAUUAAUAUGCUUUUUGUGCUGGAGUGCACAGGUCAGGUCAUCGCAGGGUCAUGCGAGUGCGCUUGGUCCUCUUCCACCAUAGGACACCUUCAGUGAGCAGCUGCUGCAAUGUCUACACAUGAUGGCCUUCCACACACCUAGAUGAAGGUCUUGGAUAGGCAGGGGCACGCUCUCCUGGGCUGCAGCUCGUUCCAGGGCACAGGUUCCUGCUGGACGAAGCUCUUCUCUUGCUGCUGCUGCUGCUGCUGCUGCUGCUGCUGCUGCUCAAAUCGCUGCCUCAGAAUUUGACAAAUGAUUUAUCUAAUAGAAAAUAUUAAACGUGUACCAAAAACGGCAGGUUUGGUGGACCGUCAAGGAGGCGAUGUCGCGAAAUCAGUCAAUUUUUCGACCCUGACAGCUGGUGCACCGGGGCUCAUAAUUCAAGUGCAAACGGACUUUUUAAUUUGCAUUUAAUAAGCUCGACUCCUGGAAUUGAGAUCCACGUGUUUUUUGGAGAGGGGGUCCAAUCUAUGUCUGGACACCCCCUCCCUGUAUCUCACCAGCCACUGCACCAUCCCAGAAUCUGAGACCAGGUUUGCCAACCAGUUUUGCACCAUACAACUGCUCAUGAAGUCAAAAACGAGGUUUGUGCAGCUUGGUCUGGGGGUGAACACCCCUACUGGGGAAGCACAAACCUUUAUCCAAGGCUUGAACACAGAUGCUCACAGCUUCAACACUCUGCUGAAGGUCCUAUCCCAGCGCUUUGUGCAUCCUAAAGAAGCAAGAAAUGCAAGAAGAGCUCUGGACAACCUCAAAAUGACCAACAACAUGUCAGCCAGAGACUAUUGCACCAAGUUUGAAAGGCUGCGCGACGAAGCCCCACCUAUGAGUGAUGAAGAUAUCAACUACACCUUCCACAAGGGGCUCACUAGGUACCUUCAGCAAUGGGUUGAACAUGAUGAGCCUCCAAGCUUGCACCAGAUGAUUGCGCUGGUCUGCAAAAUGGAUGGUGAUAAGCACCAAGAAGCACAAGGCAACAAAGACCAGGCCAGCUCUUCUGCUGAACCUAUGGAGCUAGGCAAGAUUAUCCAGCAGCUGAACCAAGCCACAACAGCUCUGAGAAAGAUGAACCUGCCUUCCCCAUCACGCCCUCCAAACAGGCGGGGGCCACCAAAGCCUCAACUUCCAAGGAAACUCUAUGACCCGCGCAAAGAUUCAAGGUGGCCAGCUGACUUGAAGAUCACUGGUUUUGAAAUCAAGCGCUGUAAAGCAAACUCAUUGUGCUUUAUGUGCAAAGAGUCAGGACACCCAUGGACUGACUGCUCACGUCUGAAGCGGUCAUCCUCUCCACAAACCAAGGCUCGCUCUCCAAGCCCCACAUGGAGUCCUAGGCCAUCAAGCCCAAACUCCAGAGGCCCACGGUAAGGGGAUCACCACGGUACGUCUUGCACCUCGAAGUGUUGAAACCUUCCCUUGUAGGUUUGCUUCUCCUCUUGCAACCUGCGGCACUUUCAGAACUGAGAGGCCUGAUCAGCCUGCUUAGAAUCCUUUUUCUGCGCCACCCCCAUCUGGUCUCGUUAUGGCGGGGGGGAUAUGGGGAAAAAAAAAAAAAAAAACGAUGAGAUGAUUACAAAGUAUCGUACAAGGACACAUCCUGAACGAAGCACCAAGUCCAUGGUUAUAUGGAGACUACCUACACGAAUAGAGCUCGCCAACCACUUUGACACUAAACUUCGGCAGAAAGAGGCCCGUACGUGUGAGCAAGCUACGGCAUUAACGAGACAAUUGCACGAAACAAUAUCACAAAACCAGUUACUCCAACGACGCAUAUCCACCUUUGAGCAACAAUUCGCAAGCAUGAUUAUGAUGCAGCUUCCAAAUGGGAGAAAGAUACUGAAAUGGAUUGCCACAAAUAUGAUGACAUAUCUGGACAUGUGUUCGUGGUGACGAAAGACAGCGUUUCUGCCAACACCAUAUCGCAUGUCCUUGGUACAGACAAGACAAUCCUCCCAUGCAACAAGUACAACACAACAAUUCGUAUUCUUGUCGGAAACGGGCGACGUGCGGGCUCUCUAGCUGUGGAAUCGUUCCUCAACACUGUCAAGGACAAAAUACCAAAUGAUUGGAAAGUGCAAAGGGAACGCACAAAGAUGACUAUGCAACGCGAUAGAAGUUUGAAUGACUUGAAUACUGACAUUCAGCGUGUCAUUUCCGCUCAACCGAAAUUUGUUGGCCUCAAUUCAUACGUUGGAGUGAACGGUUCAAACAUUUUCCUUUCAUACGGAGAUAGAAGGGAUGCCUUAAACUUGAAGAAACAAGAUACACCGGCAUUCAAGUAUCCCGUCUGGGAACACUUCAUCUUCGAUCCGCUGUUGAACAUGGGCAAAGGCGGCAUGAACUACAAGAACAAAAUUAACCUACCAACUGCAUCUAUUGAGGCUAACAUCACACAAUCUCUCUCUACCUCUCCUUCCAUCCGUGAGAAAGAAAACCAUAUGCAGAAUGAUACAUGCGAUGCAGGCCUUCGUCACUCUGAUGGUGGAACUGAACGACUUCAAAGAUUACAACUGAGCCUCGCUGAAUUUCUUUUCCACUCAUUCAACAUCUUUGCAAGACGGCAUGGAAAUAUGGCAGAAGUCUCAAGGGUCUUAAUGCGCUAAUGUAUUCAACCUGCCUUGUAAGCAUGUUAUCCAGUACCUUCACAAACUGCCAUGUUGGGUUCAGCAAUUUGCGUUCCUUCACGCUUGAAUGAGGUGUGUCUCCUUCAUCGGUACUUACUAUUAUACUUUAUAGGAGUUCAGGAUGAGUCCUUAACCCAAACUGUCCAGACCCAUCUCAACCAGUCCUUUAUUACCUUUUCCUUCUUGAAAAUGUUACUUUUAUUUGCAGGCCUAGCAGUCGCGAGUGUUGACUGAUGGCCUUUAUUUCCUGUAAACCCUGUAAACCCUAUGGCGGGGGGGAUCGGUAGGCAGAACUUUCAGAAGGCACACAGUGGUGCCGCAAUGCUGCAGCUGGGCAUUGGCCCAAAUCUAGCUCAGGGGCAAGCUGAAGAGGACUCUUGUCUUAGUCCAGUGAGCACGGACUGUAAGAGUCCAUCAGAAACCGGUGAAGGUUUUUCUUUUUGGCCAAGGCCAGUUAGGGUGAGUGGUGAAGGCAAUGGCCAGCCUGACCCACCUCAGCCCGCCUCGCCGGGUAGAGAUUGGCCAUCCUUGCUCGUGGGGGUAAGAUCAGGCAAUGCCAAAGGGCAUCCUUCUUUACACUUCAAAGGAUGUAUCAAUGAUCAGCCUGCAUAAAUUUUAAUUGAUUGUGGAGCAGAAAGAGACUAAAUAAGUGCAUCUUUUUGUGAACAUCACAACCUUCCUUAUCUUCCUCCAGAACUUACCGAUGUCCCAAUCAGUCUUCCUGACGGCAGACUCAAGAAGUGCGGAACCUUGGACACAGCUAUGUUGCGGAUAGGCAAUUAUGCUGACAGCCUUGACUUAGCUGUCACUGAUCUUCAAGGCGAGGAUCUCAUGUUAGGUAUGCCCUGGUUGUUCCGCAUUGAUCCAAAAGUGCACUGGCGCUUCGGAAAGGUGAUUGUCAAACUGGGCAGCAAAAAGCAUAUCUUAGAAGAAGAUGAUCUCCACAUGCAAACACGUCCAUUCCUGUCAUCUCUGCAAUUGAAUUUGUUCGGGAAGUUGAAGAAAACAACUGCCCUGCAUGGCUGUGUGUAAUAAAACCUUCUUCUCCAGACGCUAGCAGCGAUGGACAACAGAAGGUGGACCCUCAUUGGCUUAAAAGAACUGCUGCGUGAAUUUUCUGAUGUCGAGCAAGACCCUAAAUUUCCAGAGCCUCGCAACGUAGAGCAUGCAAUUGACUUGCAGCCUGGUUCAGGACCCCAGGUGGGGCCAAUUUUCAGGUUGGAGCCCAAUGAACUAGAGGAGCUGAAGAAGCAGCUUGGGGAAUUGCUUUCCAAAGGCCGCAUUGAAUCCAGCUCCUCUCCUUUUGGAGCUCCAGUUCUCUUUGUCAAGAAGAAGGACAACACGCUGUGGAUGUGCAUUUGUUUUAAGAAGUUGAACAGCAUCACCAUCCGCAACUCAUAUCCUCUUCCACACAUGGAUGACCUGCUGGACCAACUGCACGGUGCCAAAAUUUUUACAAGCUUGGACUUGCGCUCUGGAUACCAUCAAGUCAGGAUCAAACCAGGUGAUGAGUACAAAACAGUGUUUUGUACGCAUUUUCAGUACAGAGUUAUGCCCUUUGGAUUGUGCAAUGCCCCUGCCACAUUCCAGCGCCUUGUGAACAACAUCUUUAGGAAGUUCAUCAACUGGUUCGUGCUUGUAUACCUGGAUGACCUGCUAAUCUAUUCAUGCACCGUGCAAGAGCACCUGCGUACCGUCCUCACUUUACUCCGCCGAAACCAGCUGUAUAUAAAACGUCCCAAGUGCAAAUUUGGCGUGAAUGCAAUCAAAUUUGUCGGCUGCGUAGUAACAGAUAAAGACAUUGCAAUGGACCCUGAAAAAGUCAGAGCUAUCCUUGAUUGGCCUGUCCCAUCAGGCACCCCUGCCCAGUGCAAAACACAAAUGCGUGGAUUCUUGGGGUUAGCAAAUUUUCACAGCAGAUGGCUUAACCAUAUUGCUGAGCCAGCAGCGCCCCUGAAURCMUUAACCAUGGACAAAGCACAAUGAAUAUGGGAACCYCACCAUCAGGAAGCUUUUGAUGAAAUCAAGCKACGMAUGACAGAAAAGCCUUUGUUUGYCCAUGCUCUGCACCCAACUGCCAAGUACAUUGUUGAGACGGACGCAUUCAAAUCACAACUGGAGGCGUUAUUUAUCAAUGCCCAGAGCCUGGACACAAACAGGUCAUAGCAUUCUCUUCACAUAAACURCAACCUCUGGAAACUCUUCACCACCCCUAUGAAAGGGAAAUGCUCGCUGUUGUUGUUGCCCUCAAAAUUUGGAGKCACUAUUUGCUUGGGCGUUUAUUUGAUCUUUUCACUGACGACACAGCUGUGACCCAAUUUUUGAACAAACCUCGCCUAACCCCGCGUCAAGCACGUUGGGUAUGCUCCUUUCCGAGUAUGACUUCAGCUUGUUUCACUUGCCGAGAAACAAGAACAUCUUGGCGGAUGCUCUUAGCAGACGCCCGGACCUCCUUCCUUCCCCUGCACAAACUAAUCAUGACAUUCAUCUGAGCUGUUCACGCUCUUUGUAUGAUACUACCAAUCAGUUUAACCUUUGUACAAUUACAAGCUCUGAUCCUUCCCACUCCUCUGAACUUGUCACACAAUUUCAGCAGGAUGCUGAAGUGGACCUUGAGUACCAGAAUGCCAUCCAGGCUGCUGCAGAAGGCCAAUUUCCGGAUUUUACAGAGCACAAUGGUUUUGUCUGGUACACGCCUGGAAAUGACAUUCCACCAAGACUUUUUGUUCCCCAUGGCAGUGCACGACAAACUUUAAUUUCUGAAGCUCACGAUUCGCCUAUCUACGGCCAUCUAGGCAUCCAUAGAACUUAUGAAAACUUACUUAGGAACUAUUACUGGCCCCAUAUGCAUAACUCUGUGUGUGAUUUUGUAUCUACGUGCGCUAAAUGAAAAGAAAAAGAAAAAAAG